rnacentral:rRNA from 3 species
GAAAGUAAAAAAGUCGUAACAAGGUUUCCGUAGGUGAACCUGCGGAAGGAUCAUUGUCGA